AAAAACGACUCUCGGCAACGGAUAUCUCGGCUCUCGCAUCGAUGAAGAACGCAGCGAAAUGCGAUACUUGGUGUGAAUUGCAGAAUCCCGUGAACCAUCGAGUUUUUGAACGCAAGUUGCGCCCAAAGCCUUUCGGCUGAGGGCACGUCUGCCUGGGUGUCACGCAACAU
rnacentral:rRNA from 1 species